rnacentral:rRNA from 1 species
CUGCGGCUUCGGGUGCCCCCAACUCGGGUGGUGUGACGGGCGGUGUGUACAAGGCCCGGGAACGUAUUCACCGCAGCUUGGCUGAUCUGCGAUUACUAGCGAUUCCGGCUUCAUGUAGUCGAGUUGCAGACUACAAUCCGAACUGGGACCGGCUUUAGAGGAUUUGCCAAGUGUCGCCACUAAGCUGCCGUCUGUGUCGGCCAUUGUAGCACGUGUGUAGCCCUGGGCAUAAAGGCCAUGAUGACUGGACGUCAUCCCCACCUUCCUCCGCCUUGUCGGGGGCAGUCUCGCCAAGAAGUGCUCAGCUCUCCUGUUAGCAACUGGCAUAGGGGGGUUGCGCCUCGUUGCGGGACUUAACCCAACAUCUCACGACACGAGCUUGACGACAGGCAUGCAGCAC